rnacentral:rRNA from 1 species
UACCAGCACCCCGAGUGGUCGGGACGUUUAUUGGGCCUAAAGCAUCCGUAGCCGGUUCUACAAGUCUUCCGCUAAAUCCAGCUGCUUAACAGAUGGGCUGCGGAAGAUACUAUGGAGCUAGGAGGCGGGAGAGGCAAGCGGUACUCGAUGGGUAGGGGUAAAAUCCGUUGAUCCAUUGAAGACCACCAGUGGCGAAGGCGGCUUGCCAGAACGCGCUCGACGGUGAGGGAUGAAAGCUGGGGGAGCAAACCGG